ensembl:lncRNA
CGUCAGGCUCUCCUUGCUGCGGCUUGACCCAACUGCACAUCUCACCUCAGCGUUAUGAAAGUGCAAGGUCUUCAGCAAUGCUAUUGUGGUGCUGGGAUGGAGGAGGAUACAUUGCCUGCAAAACAAUGGUUUCUCUAGCACUUUGAGAACUGGGCUUACUGCCAUCUGACGCUGAAAUGGUAACCAUCUGUUAAGAAUUCCUCCGCUGAGUAAAUUUAUUCAUAUGCUGUAGAAUGAUAGAAAGGAAAAAUCUUUCAGAACAAACAAACAAAACAAAACAAAACCCCCCAAAACCUCUUAGUCAUAACUUGUUUUUGAAUGAAGUUCUGAUGCGUGCAAUUCAUACUGGUUCUUGUGAGUUCUCAGUGCUGAUUAUACAGAAGAACAAUUUACUCACCACGAAAUAUUAUUAUUUCAUGCUAAUAAAAAC